CCCUUAGAUGUUCUGGGCCGCACGCGCGCUACACUGAUGCAUUCAACGAGCCUAUCCUUGACCGACAGGUCCGGGUAAUCUUUGAAUCUGCAUCGUGACGGGGAUAGAUUAUUGCAAUUAUUAAUCUUCAACGAGGAAUGCCUAGUAGGCGCAAGUCAUCAGCUUGCGUCGAUUACGUCCCUGCCCUUUGUACACACCGCCCGUCGCUCCUACCGAUUGGGUGUGCUGGUGAAAUGUUCGGAUCGGCCGUUUGUCGCGGUUUCCGCGGCUCGUGGCUGAGAAGUUCAUUAAACCCUCCCACCUAGAAGAAGGAGAAGUCGUAACA
rnacentral:rRNA from 1 species